CAUCGCAGGAGCAGGCACAGAAAAGCAGUGGGAAGAUGGAGCUGCAGGGAAAAACUCCAAGAGCCAGCAGGAUGGGCUGCUAAUACUUGGUUUAGGGGAUGUCUGGAUCCUGAGGCAACGUCCAUCCAUGCUCUUAAUUCAUUCCUGACAUGAUCCUGUUGUCUCCAUGCUGGUUCCCAACACCCACCAUUGUGCAAGGUCACUGAUGUUGUGCUUCCAUCCACACUCAUUGUGCUAAGAGGUACCUGAGGAUACAGUUUUCUGCUUAUCAUAACACAACUUUAUCUCUGGGUCAGGAAACCUUGCAGCCCAAAUUGUGAUGCAGCUGAUACUGCCUUACUGUUAUGUUGUGCCUUCUGUCACAGUGACUGCAGUCUCCCAGGUUCUUUCUUACAGGAGGUCUCUUUAUUUAUCAGGGGAGAGAGAAUAUGACAAAUUCAGCCAAAUUUUGUCACAAGGAGCAUGUAGAUUUACCUAAAGAGCAAAUCUUCCUGCUUUCCCCCUUUGCCACUAGUGCUUUUGAAGAUCUGGCCUCUCCAUCUCCCCUAAGUGGAAUUGCUCAAUAACCGUGUCUAAGUGCUUUCAAUUUGGGCCAUAUUAAAAUAUGUGGAUUAAAACAGCAUUUCAAACAGUCUGAAAAAAAGGAACUACUGAGAUGAAAAGAGUUCCUGGAACUGAAUGCAGUUAUAUCAAGUGGUGCAGUAGCACUGACCCAUCCAGGCAGCAGUCCCCGAGGUUAGGAGCAGCCCCAGGCUCCGAGGCUGGAUGGACCCUUCCUACAUUUUUUAAAAAGCAAGGCCUGCCACACCUCAUGACCCGUUGUUCAUGCCAGGAUUAUUCGAUCCCAGCAUCCCAACGCGUGGCUGUGGUAUUU